AGUGAACGCUGGCGGUAGGCCUAACACAUGCAAGUCGAACGGCAGCACAGUAAGAGCUUGCUCUUACGGGUGGCGAGUGGCGGACGGGUGAGGAAUACAUCGGAAUCUACUUUUUCGUGGGGGAUAACGUAGGGAAACUUACGCUAAUACCGCAUACGACCUACGGGUGAAAGCAGGGGAUCUUCGGACCUUGCGCGAUUGAAUGAGCCGAUGUCGGAUUAGCUAGUUGGCGGGGUAAAGGCCCACCAAGGCGACGAUCCGUAGCUGGUCUGAGAGGAUGAUCAGCCACACUGGAACUGAGUCACGGUCCAGACUCCUACGGGAGGCAGCAGUGGGGAAUAUUGGACAAUGGGCGCAAGCCUGAUCCAGCCAUACCGCGUGGGUGAAGAAGGCCUUCGGGUUGUAAAGCCCUUUUGUUGGGAAAGAAAAGCAGCAGGUUAAUACCCCGCUGUUCUGACGGUACCCAAAGAAUAAGCACCGGCUAACUUCGU
rnacentral:rRNA from 1 species